UUGUUUUUUAACCCUAUGUGAUAAAACUUUUGCUUCCAACUGAGCCUAGUGCUUGGACAAGGGGGUUCAGGCCAUGAUUAAGCACCAGGCUGGUUGAAGCAGUAUUGAUGUUGCAAAAUGAGAACUAUGCUGUCUGUCAGUUUGAAGAACUAUUGUGCAAUCUUCUUCGCAGCCUCCUUUGUGUAGGUACACAUCUACCGUUUGCCUAGCUCUGCUCCAGUGUGGAAAACAAUGAUGCUUUGCCUUACUGGCUGGAUUUUACAAGGACAGAGAAGGAUAAAUUGUUGCUCUAUCAACAACAAGAAGAAAACAUUUUUCCAAAACUGAAUUGCCUUUCCAUUUCUAGACAAUAGAAAUGUAAUUCUAAACACUACCACAGGUGAGCAACUGAGCUGGAGGACACUGAUUCCACAGUCAAGUGCUCACAGCUCUCGCCUAAACCAGGGAAGGUUCAAGUCUUGUCCACCUACUCCAAAUACACACGUACACGUGGCACUUUUUUGGACUAUGCAUAUGUGGUAUGAAGAUACCAGAGGAAGGAGAGUCUGAGCUAAGACUGUGUUAGGAAGCAAUAGAGCUACGAGAACUCUUGUAAUGCAGGAUAACAACACUUUUAGACCUAAGACAGUAUUGCCAUAUGAUGCUCUGUUGUGCCAGGUGCGUGUGCUGGCACAGUGCUAGCUAGCUCAGGUGACUGCAUCAUGCCUUGCUCUAGUGUGUUGACAUGGAUUUUCACUCCCAGUUCUUUAGCCAUUGGUUUACUGGCUAUUAAAAAAGAUAUUGCCAUCAGUUUUUCAAGACAAAUUUUGUAUCAUAUUUUAGGGUAUGGAGUGUGGAGUGAAUCUGGUAGCCUGAUAGAAGCGAGAUUGCUGCAGCUCCAUGCUCCUUGCUUCCGCCAACAGUAAGGCCAAGCAUAUGUUCCCAACAGGUGAAAUACAAACUCACAUAUACAGCAUGUAUAUAUAGAGCAGUCACACACAGGCAGUGCCAAUGGCCUCACCCAGUGCCCCUCUCUAGCGGAUCGGUAUGAAGGCUGGUACUGGGAAAUGCAGACAUAUGUGCAGUAUUGAUUCCUCCAGGGGCAGGAGGAGUGGCGCAGACACCCAGCUUGCCCUGUAGCUGACCCCUGGAUCCUGGUCUCCUCAGUUGCUGGCACCUGGACAUAUGAGGCCCCGAGGAUGCAGCCCCACUCAUGUUGGUACAGACCCCUCACUCAGCUCCCCCAUGCCCCUGAAAUGGGUCUCACUUGUCCCACAGACCCCAUGGUCUCUCCAGCUGGGAUUCCCCUGCUCCUCCAGUAGCUAGCUCCUGGCAUGGUCUCACCUCUUCCUCACCCAGGAAAAGAAAUGACAUUGAAUAAGACAUGACAGAGUGUGGUGACUGGGCAAGGCCAAACAAGUGUGCCUGUUUAUACUUGACUGGCUUCUUUUAUCCCUUUAUCCCUCUAUUUUCCUACAUUUGUUCCUCCCCCAAACCACUACACCCACCCUUUUCACCACCGCUGGUUCCUCCCC